rnacentral:misc_RNA from 1 species
GAUGAAGAACGCAGCGAAAUGCGAUAAGUAGUGUGAAUUGCAGAAUUCAGUGAAUCAUCGAAUCUUUGAACGCACAUUGCGCCCCUUGGUAUCCCGAGGGGCAUGCCUGUUCGAGCGUCAUUUCACCACUAAGCCUGGCUUGGUGUUGGGCGACGUCCCCUUUGGGGACGCGCCUCGAAACGCUCGGCGGCGUGGCACCGGCUUUAAGCGUAGCAGAAUCUUUCGCUUUGGAAGUCGGGGCCCCGUCUGCCGGAAGACCUACUCGCAAGGUUGACCUCGGAUCAGGCAGGGAUACCCGCUGAACUUAAGCAUAUCAAUAAGCGGAGGA